CGUGCUAAUCUGCGAAAAGCGCCGGCGAGGUGAUAUGAACCUUUGACCCGGCGAUGUCCGAAUGGGGAAACCCAGUGUGUUCCGACACACUAUCGUUAACUGAAUACAUAGGUUAACGAGGCGAACCGGGGGAACUGAAACAUCUAAGUACCCCGAGGAAAAGAAAUCAACCGAGAUUCCCCCAGUAGCGGCGAGCGAACGGGGAGCAGCCCAGAGUCUGAAUCAGCUUGUGUGUUAGUGGAAGCGUCUGGAAAGUCGCACGGUACAGGGUGAMAGUCCCGUACACGAAAGCACACAGGYUGUGAACUCGAAGAGUAGGGCGGGACACGUGGUAUCCUGUCUGAAUAUGGGGGGACCAUCCUCCAAGGCUAAAUACUCCUGACUGACCGAUAGUGAACCAGUACCGUGAGGGAAAGGCGAAAAGAACCCCGGCGAGGGGAGUGAAAAAGAACCUGAAACCGUGUACGUACAAGCAGUGGGAGCCUCUUUAUGGGGUGACUGCGUACCUUUUGUAUAAUGGGUCAGCGACUUAUAUUCUGUAGCAAGGUUAACCGUAUAGGGGAGCCGAAGGGAAACCGAGUCUUAACUGGGCGUUAAGUUGCAGGGUAUAGACCCGAAACCCGGUGAUCUAGCCAUGGGCAGGUUGAAGGUUGGGUAACACUAACUGGAGGACCGAACCGACUAAUGUUGAAAAAUUAGCGGAUGACUUGUGGCUGGGGGUGAAAGGCCAAUCAAACCGGGAGAUAGCUGGUUCUCCCCGAAAGCUAUUUAGGUAGCGCCUCGUGAAYUCAUCUUCGGGGGUAGAGCACUGUUUCGGCUAGGGGGCCAUCCCGGCUUACCAACCCGAUGCAAACUACGAAUACCGAAGAAUGUUAUCACGGGAGACACACGGCGGGUGCUAACGUCCGUCGUGAAGAGGGAAACAACCCAGACCGCCAGCUAAGGUCCCAAAGUCAUGGUUAAGUGGGAAACGAUGUGGGAAGGCACAGACAGCCAGGAUGUUGGCUUAGAAGCAGCCAUCAUUUAAAGAAAGCGUAAUAGCUCACUGGUCGAGUCGGCCUGCGCGGAAGAUGUAACGGGGCUAAACCAUGCACCGAAGCUGCGGCAGCGACACUAUGUGUUGUUGGGUAGGGGAGCGUUCUGUAAGCCGUUGAAGGUGUCCUGUGAGGGGUGCUGGAGGUAUCAGAAGUGCGAAUGCUGACAUAAGUAACGAUAAAGCGGGUGAAAAGCCCGCUCGCCGGAAGACCAAGGGUUCCUGUCCAACGUUAAUCGGGGCAGGGUGAGUCGACCCCUAAGGCGAGGCCGAAAGGCGUAGUCGAUGGGAAACAGGUUAAUAUUCCUGUACUUGGUGUUACUGCGAAGGGGGGACGGAGAAGGCUAUGUUAGCCGGGCGACGGUUGUCCCGGUUUAAGCAUGUAGGCGGAGGUUCCAGGUAAAUCCGGUUCCUUGUUAACGCUGAGGUGUGAUGACGAGGCACUACGGUGCUGAAGUAACAAAUGCCCUGCUUCCAGGAAAAGCCUCUAAGCAUCAGGUAACAUCAAAUCGUACCCCAAACCGACACAGGUGGUCAGGUAGAGAAUACCAAGGCGCUUGAGAGAACUCGGGUGAAGGAACUAGGCAAAAUGGUGCCGUAACUUCGGGAGAAGGCACGCUGAUAUGUAGGUGAAGCCCCUGCGGGUGGAGCUGAAAUCAGUCGAAGAUACCAGCUGGCUGCAACUGUUUAUUAAAAACACAGCACUGUGCAAACACGAAAGUGGACGUAUACGGUGUGACGCCUGCCCGGUGCCGGAAGGUUAAUUGAUGGGGUUAGCGGYAACGCGAAGCUCUUGAUCGAAGCCCCGGUAAACGGCGGCCGUAACUAUAACGGUCCUAAGGUAGCGAAAUUCCUUGUCGGGUAAGUUCCGACCUGCACGAAUGGCGUAAUGAUGGCCAGGCUGUCUCCACCCGAGACUCAGUGAAAUUGAACUCGCUGUGAAGAUGCAGUGUACCCGCGGCAAGACGGAAAGACCCCGUGAACCUUUACUAUAGCUUGACACUGAACACUGGUCCUUGAUGUGUAGGAUAGGUGGGAGGCUUUGAAGCGUGGACGCCAGUCUGCGUGGAGCCAACCUUGAAAUACCACCCUUUAAUGGCUGGUGUUCUAACGUAGACCCGURAUCCGGGUUGCGGACAGUGUCUGGUGGGUAGUUUGACUGGGGCGGUCUCCUCCCAAAGAGUAACGGAGGAGCACGAAGGUUAGCUAAUCCUGGUCGGACAUCAGGAGGUUAGUGCAAUGGCAUAAGCUAGCUUGACUGCGAGAGUUGAGGGGGGCUGCUCCUAGUACGAGAGGACCGGAGUGGACGCAUCACUGGUGUUCGGGUUGUCAUGCCAAUGGCACUGCCCGGUAGCUAAAUGCGGAAGAGAUAAGUGCUGAAAGCAUCUAAGCACGAAACUUGCCCCGAGAUGAGUUCUCCCUGAGACUUUAAGUCUCCUGAAGGAACGUUGAAGACUACGACGUUGAUAGGUCGGGUGUGUAAGCGCAGCGAUGCGUUGAGCUAACCGAUACUAAUGAACCGUGAGGCUUAACCUU
rnacentral:rRNA from 1 species